UCACUCUCAAUACUCGAUCUCUCGCAUUGUCACUCUCACCAGAUACAAUUCUUCAAUCUCUCUUCGAUUACUACCUCGAUCUCUCUUACUCUCAUUCUCACCUAAUAUACCUUCGAUCUCUCUUCGAUCUCUCUUCGAUCGAUUCUCUCUGCAGCAAACUUUGAUUUCCUCGCUGAAAUUUCGAUUUCCUCUGCUUGUAGCUAGAAGUAGUUCCUCCUCUGUAGUUCGUCAAUUUUUUAUCUGUUAGUGCAGAAAUAGACAAGGACAAGGUUUUCUUUGUAGUGCAAAGGCCUCUUCUAAAGUGACCCCUCCCUGCCUGUCUUCUAAGGUAACCCUUGUAAGAUAUUCUUUGUAGAAUAUCUUACUGUUAUACAGUGUUAUGGUAAGAAUUCAGAAGCUUACAACAGGGUUAAGUAUUAAGUAGGAGAACUUACUACUUACACAAAAAAUCCAAAAUCCUGAAUACCUAAUAAUUUAGAAGUGUAUAGUGGAGAUAUGAUCUGAUAUUUUGAUUUUUAGAUUUUUUGUUAUCUUUCUAGUGCUUAGAUAGUAUGCCAGUAGACAUCCUUUGUGCUAUAUGCUAGAUUGGCAUAGCAUGGUCUGUUUAAGUGGAAAAUUUUGAUGUUCUGGAAAAACUUCUUGGUUUAGGUUUGGAAUUUAGAUUUUAUCCCUGUUUUAGAGAUCAUAAAAAACCACUGCUGCUAGCAAGUGUGUUACUUUCCAUUUUUAUUGCUGUUUUUAUAUGCCUAACCCUGGUGUAUCUCCUUUUGUAUAUUCAUCUUUCAGGUAUUCAUUCAUUACAAAUUCUGGUUUUUAUUUAUUACAAAUGCUUUCUAUGGCUGCCCCUGGCAUUGACAUUUUUGGUGGUGAUGAUAUUUUUGAAGUUUGAACAGAAGUGAAUUUGAUCCAGGAUAUGUUAUUUUGAGUUGAUUGGAUGCAGUAGCACGAGCCAUAUAUGCUCAAAUUCCCUUCUACUUCUGGAAAGUGAAAUUUUGCAACCUCUUAACAGUUUCAAUUUCAGUGACUGUCACAUAGUAAGAUAAUAAUAUAAUGAUUUCCUUACAGCUAGUUCCCUUAAGCUAAAAGCAUGAUGAUCAUGCAUAAAAAAGAGCUCACGGCUAAGAAAAAUAAUCUCAUUCUGUCACUGUUGUCUUUUAUUAGUAUUAUUAUUAGAAGAUUCUCAAUUCGACUGUGAGCAUUAUGGCACAUGCACUAGUGGGUAAUGAGAUGAUAAACCAGAAUGUGUUUACAGUUAAUUGAUCUUCAGCCUGCUUUGAAAUUUUUGCAGUUGUCAUUUGUGCUUCUUGGAGAACUUCCUAGUUUACUUUGUCAUACAUGUUGAUUUAGUGUACCAUUACAAUGGGAUCUGCAGCAACCUGUAUAGAUUGUGAUGAGAGCUGGAAAUUAUUAUUGGUCACAAGGAAAGGAUCUUUGUAUUUAUGGGAUCUCUUCAAUAGGAACUGUCUCCUCCAUGAUUCAUUAGCGUCUCUAAUCACUUUGGACCUUAGCUUGUCUCCGCAAGGGUUGUAGAUGAUUGCUUCCCUACGUCAAAAUUUUCUAGUUCUUGGAAUUUGGGUUCAAUUCAGGCUGGUGAGUUGGCUGCACUGUAGGUGGAUGUUAGGAUAUGUUUGGCCAGAAAGCCCAGCUGGAAUAGGGUAACUGAUGAUGGAGUGCAGACACGUGCUCAUUUAGAAGCUUAGUUGGUAUUGUCUUUGGCUUUGAAAUCCUCUAAUGAAUGUCGCCGGAGCCUUCUUUCCUACAUAUGUUUCCUAGCAAGAGAAGCAGAUGAGUCUUGUGUGCGAGAAGUCUGUGAAAGUUUUCUCAGGCCAUCAACUAGAAUGGCUUCAGAUUCCAAGAAUCCUGCUUGGGAUCCUUAUGUGCUUGUAAGUCUUUCAUCCCAACCUCUUACAAAUAUCAUACUUCAUUAAUUUUAGUGCAUCUUUUUCCAUCAUAUCCUAGAAUAUCCAAGUAGAAUCACUUCUUUGCAAAUACAAUAUCUAAGCUUCUUUCCAAAUCAUAUAAUGCUUAAUUUUUUUUGUUCAAUUAGUUUUCAAAACUUUCUAGAAGGUUGAUGUGCUUAGAAUGUAACAAACAUUAUUUUAACAACUUGUCUUGUUAAUUUCUAUUGUCAAUGAAAGCACUUCUAUCUGUGGUUCUGAUUUCCAAGGAACAAAACCAGCAUGGCCUUUUGGUUUGUUUCCUGGCUUGUACAAGUUUGAUCACAUACCCUUUCUUAUUUCCCUGGACCCUUGGUAUCUUAAAUCCUAGUCAGCUACUUGUUGACCCAGGGCUUUGAAAUACUUUGAAUGAUUUUAUCCCUUAACCAAUCUGGAUCUUUGCAAGGAAUGAGAAAGCACAAACUUUUAAGGGAAGUCAUUUGCCAAGCAUGGAUAUCAACUCAAGUGCUAUACCAAUAGGUAGUAGACAGGUAACAACAAUAAGUAUUAUUAAUUAGUAAAUAAUAGUUAUUUACUAAUCCAGAAAUUGUAUUAUAUUGUAGGUUUCAGGUGCAUUGAGUUCAUUAGGAUCAUCAUGUGCUAUUGCAUUGCAUUGCAUUGCAUUGGUAUUUUGAUUACUUUUUGGUAAUUUCAUAGCAUUAGAAUGAUGUUCACUAUUAUACUUUGAAGAUGAUACUACUGCAUUAUUGGUGAUAAUUGGUAAUUUGAUAACUUUUUGGUGUAUUGAUAGUUUCGGUAUUUGUAAUAGGAUUGGUAUUAAGUUGCAAUUUUCCUUUGAUGGUUAUAUGAUGUUCUUAACAGCUUGUAGACAUUGACAAAUGACACUACUAUUGAAUUUUGUUGAUUUUAAUACUUAUAAAUCAUGACAUUGACAACCUCAUUCCUAAGUCUUGUUUCUGCAGUCGUUGAGGAAAAGAAGAAAAAAUAGUGGGAUGGUAUGAAAAUAUUUAGGUUGUUUCAAGUUAGAAUGCUCUAAUGUUGUGAACCAUUUUGUAGUUGUGUUUGAGGACUUUUGUUAAAUGGUUUUGUAUAUGCUAAAAGUUCUAUGUUUCACAAUAUUUGUGCCCAAGUAAGUACAAGAAUAGUGUCAUUAGCUUCAAUGAGUUUUCUUCUGUAAUGGCAAA